AUGGACUAAUAAUAAUGUAGUUCAGAGGUCCAUCACAGGAGUCACAGACUGUGAGUGACAAUCUCUACUAUCCUGUGGUCACUGGAGGCCACACCCCUGCCAAUAGAAGCUGAGUGAACACUGCCUGGACACUUUUUGAGCAGUUAUACAUUUAUUGAUGCUUUGCUCGAAGCACUGCAUUUUGGGGUUUCUUCCCUUUUCUUAGGAAAUGCUUGCACAUAAAAGCUGUGCUCUGUGCUCAGACUGGAAACGACAGACAGGAUUAUUUCUUAUAGCGUGGAUAUAGAGGCUCCUGCUAGCAGAACCACCUCCUGAUAUGAAAAUGCCCAACUGGGUUCUGAAAAAGCCUGCUGGAUCUCCUGGGUGUAUCUUCUGUUUAUCUAAUGCAGAAGUAAAGUCAGAAGCAAAAAGAGUCUGUGUGGAAACAGGGAGAAGUCAGAAGCAAAAAAAAAAAAAAAAAAAAAGACUGUGCACAACCCCUGUCUACUUCUCACCAAGCAGGACGGCAGCAAACGUUUGUCCUGUACUUUCUAAGUCACUUUGAAAAGAAUACAACAACUCUCUGACCACCAAUUUCUUUGGGGAAACUCAUACAUUAAUAAACACAUGCCGCAAACUGACA